AGGUGUGAGGGCAAUCUGCCUGUGAAAUCUGUCACCCCAUUGAUCGCCAGGGUUGAGUUGGCUGAUCUAGCUGGCUAGUCUGGUGUCCCCUUCCUCCCUCACCACUUCAUUUGCAUCGCUCCCACACCUGCAAGCUCUGUGGAAGAGGACUACCUUCCACAAUAGAGAAGGACCAUUCUUUGGUCAAGGGUAUAAGAGUAGCUGCAGAGUUUAAGAAACAAGGCAGAG
rnacentral:snRNA from 1 species